GAUGAACGCUGGCGGCGUGCCUAACACAUGCAAGUCGAGCGAACAGACGAGGAGCUUGCUCCUCUGAGUGUAUCGGCGGACGGGUGAGUAACACGUGGUUAACAUACCUAUACGACUGGGGUAAUUUCGGGAAACCGGAUCUACUACCGGAUAAUAUAUUGAACCGCUUUGGUCAAUAGUUAGAGACGGUUUUUUUGUCCCUUAUAGAUGGGCGCGCGCCGCAUUAGCUGGUUGGUAGGGUAACGGCCUAGCAACGCGAGGAUGCAUAGCCGGUCUGAGAGGAUGGGCAGACACACUGACGCUGGGACGCAGCCGAGACUCCUACGGGAGGGGGCAGUGGGGAAUGUUGGACAGUGGGCGGAGGCCUGAUGCAGCAAGGCCGCGUGAGUGAUGAAGGCCUUAGGGUUGUAAAGCUCUUUUACCCGGGAUGGUAAUGACGGUACCGGGAGAAUAAGCUCCGGCUAACUCCGUG
rnacentral:rRNA from 1 species